rnacentral:lncRNA from 1 species
AGAAAAUGGUGUCUUUAGGAGUGCCCAAGCGUACCAAGAUUAUAUGAUGCAGCUGCCAAUCCCAACCAAACGUGGUGCUAUCAUUCCAUUUACCUCGUGGAGUGGAUUUGGUGAUUCUACGAAACAACUAUACAAUCAGCCUCUGCAUUACCUCACAAAUGUCUACCUGAAGCAGCUGGAUCGAAACAGGAUUGGUGCUGAUGAUGCGAACGAAAGACUUGAUACUAUUAUUCAUCCAGCCAAAGCUGAAGUUUUCCUCUGGAUGACGGAACAAACUCACAGGCUCACUACUUCUCCACAUCAGCUGGCUACACUCUGGCAAAAAGACCCCAUGUACAAGGCUGAUAUCGAUGCCUGUGCCCCUCUCUCUACUAAUCCAAUUUAGGGGUCUUUCAAUAGGAAGGAUCAGAUUCUAGCAUUCCCUGAACACUGCAAGGGUGUAAUGAUAAUCUCCUGAUCGUAUCUUGUAAAACUUUUUAUUUCCUUUACCAUCUAUGUAGGGCGUUCUCUGGAAUGGACUGAAUGAUCUGUAAACAAUCCGAGAGCUUAGCUAUUGACAAAGUAUCAAACAGGAUUAUUUACAUGCUACCAAUAAUUACUGCAAGAGCAAAUUCCAUGCUCGAAAACGUGAAAUCGGUGGUUAUCUCGAUUAAUAAUUUUACGGUCAUAUAUCUCUGACACUAACUUUGCAUAAGAAUGACAGUCAGAACAGAUUCUGAGAUUCUUGAUUACACGUAUGGGCGUUCCAUAGCUUGUACUUAUGAGUCCAAAGCCUAAGGCCAGUUUUUCACUGUGUCUACUUAGCAAUGUAUCCUUUUCUUGCUCAUCGACAUCUAACAAGACACUUUUAAGGUCAGGAACAAAGCCCACAUCUCUGAGUCUGUAGUUCACUUCUUCCAGCAUUGGGAGAAUAAGAUCUGUAACUAAAUGAGACUGAUCACCUGAAGUGAACUCAUGAAUGGCGCCAUUAUAAUUUUGAACAACUCAAAGAUGAACGAACACGAUGAAAAAUUGGACAAGACAAAAUAACGGAAUUGAUGCUGCGAUCCAAUAUUACCAUAUUGUACUGUCAGUUUGAAAGAAUAACAAUUGAGUUCUUCAUUCAAUAAGAAUAUAAGAAUACAACUGAAUUCUUCAUUCAAGAAGAAUCCAUAUUGUAGUAUCUUCAAAUUAAAUAGAGCUCGUAGGAGUCAAACCCAUGUCAUUUUGAUAUAGACCAAUGCCUCAACCAUGGGGAAAAGUCAUACUUCGUCAAGUUUAUAUAACAGGAAUAUUAAACUACUCACAAGCUAUUUAGGGCAAGUACCCAGUGUGCCUCCAUCCCUGACUAGCGUCACGAGAACUUCAAACAUAAGUUCACUUGUUCUUGUCUUUGUGGUUGAGGUCACAAUUUAAUUUAGCAAAUUCGAAAAGAACUUGUUAGCACACAUUUAUCUUCUCAUAUUUAUUAUAUUUCUUAAUCCCAUCAUCCGCCCAUCCCGACUACACGUCAACCAUCUAUACAUAUAUGUAAUUUUAUAAAAUAUAUUUCUUAAUCACGUCAUCCGCCCACCCCGAUUUACCCUACUUCAAAUCUACCUUUUGCCUCCUUUAAUGAAUCAUUUUUCUUUAUCGUCAGAAUUUUACCGGAUUUUUCUUCUUCUCCGAUUUUGUUUACCACCAAGUCAUAUCUUAUUUUAUUAUCAUCAUCAUGGAUCUAGUCAUAUAUCAAAUAUAUGCGAUAGAGAUGAUAUGAUGGUUGUUACAAUCAGUGGCGGACCCAGAAUAUUAUUUUAGUGGGUUCCCAAAAUAAAAAGAUGCAAUAAUAAUUAUAAAUAGUAAAUAUCAGAAAUAUUUUACACUUUCUGUCAAAAAAAAAUAUAUUCUACACUUUAAAAUUGUUUCCUAUAGUGUUUUCAUCAGAAGUUCAAGUGGGUUUAAAAAGAUUCACCAGGAGAGUUCAAGAGAAGUUAAUUUUUUAAAACCCUACCGAGAGGAUCAAAAUUCAAAGGGAUAGAGCACGAACAGCAAGACAGUAAAUUCUAUUAUAAUUUUUAAACAUGGUAAACUACUACUACAACCUUUUCUUUUGUGUUGUGUAUUGGGCCGUGUAAUUUUCUUUGGGCUUCUUUAUAUUAGAGGGUUCCUCGUUAAUAUGAUAGCGGAUUCCAAAAAUAAAUUCACGGUAACAUAUUCCUUAAGCCCAGGCCCAAGUGGGUUCUUGUCCGCCCGUGGUUACAAUUGUAGGCGUAGUAGAUGUUGAAUGUCUUUCAUCAUCAUCAUAGAUCUAGUCAUAUAUCAAAUAUAUGCGAUAGAGAUGAUAUGAUGGUUGUUACAAUUGUAAGCGUAGUAGAUGUUGAAUGUCGGCUCAGCACAACCUAUAUAAUUAAUGAUGGUAAUUUAAUGAUCAAUACACACAUUUAUUAGCAUUGAGUUUUGUUGAUUUUGGUAAUAUGUAUUUGUGAUUCUAUAAUAUAUUAAUGAUUUUUGAUACAUAUAUUAGUGAUCUCGUGUGAAUUGGUUACACUCAUAUGAAUUUGAAAUUGACAUAUUGAGAUGUUGAUGAUGUUUCUGUUAGUGAUUGUGGUGAAAUAAUUAUGACAUUGAAAAUUAAAUAUAUGAUAAUAUAGUAUUUAAGUUGAUGGAUUUAAUAAGAUAAAUGUCAUGUAAAUAAAUUAUAAAUAUUAUUCAAUAUCUUUUUUGGUUAGACCAUUGAAAUGAAUAUUUAUCCAUUCAACAAAUUUUUUUAUGCUGAACGAAUAAAAUGUACUCCCUCCAUCUCCCUAAAUUAUAUGUAUUGAGGACCAGGCGCGGCGCACAUUUUAAUACUCUUAUAAAAUAUAAUUUAUAAUUUAUUUUUAAGAUUUUUUUCCUGAAUAAAAAUUUAACAUUCAAUUUUUUAUUCAAAAAAAAUUUAAAAAAAAAUUAAAACUAUACUUUAUAGAAGUAUUAAAGUGUAUGUCAAGUGAAAAAACGUGUAGAAAUGAGUGGAACAGAGAAAAUACAUUAUACUUAUUUAAUGAGAAAAAAAGGCUGAACAUGUUAGAAUUUUAUUAUAAUCCUAUAACCGUGAAUACAUCAUCCAAAAAUUAUAAAAUAAAAAGUUAAAUAAACCCAUCCCAACAUACACACAUCAGGAGUUACACCCAUAAAUGUAUAAUAUUACUGAGAUUAUAUAUUGUACACAAUAUUUUUAGAAUCUUUAUUAUUUAAUUAUUUUAAGAGUUAUUCAUUUUCUCAACUCGUAAUGAGAACAAAAAAAAUAUUAUUUACAAAAGUUACAAAUUUAAAAGUACAAGAAAAUCAUAUAAAAAGUCCCUCAAAUUCUAGUCCAUGCUCAAAUUUUAUAAUUCCCUGUAAUAAAAAUAGGAAAAAAAAAAAUCUAUUUUCCUUAAAAGUAAUUCGUGACAAAUGAGGCAAGCAAAAUAGAAAAGACCAAAUGCUUAAAAGUUCGUAUUUUGCUUAAUUGGGGGUGGGAUUUAUAGGCACUGACCACGAGGGGUUUAUGUUUCCGGCGUGUACACAAACGUUAACAAGUACGACGUUGAAGCAGAGUGUGUUAAGGUUCUGACCUUAAUUACUUCCCAAACUUGUACUUCUCUCAAAACGGUACACAUGGUUUCUUGAUUUUUCAUGUCUUUAUCUUUAUAUACAUCGAUAAUUUCUUGAUUUUUAUAUAUCUAUAUCUGCCGUUCUGAUGAAUGUCUGUAUGUAUAGACACAUUAUUUCUUGAUUUUCAUGUCUCUAGCUUUAUAUGUCAUUCUGUUGUUUAUGUAUGUAUAAACCGAGACUGUCCUUGCAUGUGCAUCUACAUUUUAGUUGACACUUUCUAGAUGGAGCUGAUUAUUCCUUGUACUCGAUGGUUUGAGCUGAUAUUCUUGUCCUUGGUUCCGAAGGGUCGAGGUGUUCGAGCCUCUAUUAAGACAAGUGUGUGCCGGAGUGUGCCGGAGUGAACUUAGUAACUCUCAUUCUUAGAUGUGGAUGUGUCGGGGUAUAUAUGUGUGUUUAAAAUGAAUUGCAGAAUAUAUAACACUGCUAUUAAAAUGUAUGUAUGGGUUCCUUAUUGUGGACCACAGACUGUUAUAGAAGAUUCAUGUGUCAAAAAACAAGAACGAUUAUUAGUUCUUUAGUCAUGGAUGGAAGAGUCAUUUUUUACUAUAUAGGUCAUUGGCUAAUGGAAUAUUGCUGCCAAGAUAUGCAAAUCUGAGGAGAAAUAAUGACAAAAUUAACAGAUUUUGGAAGACGUUAAAAUAUCUAUAUCAAUCCUGCAAAAAAAACCAAUUUUACCUUUAUAGUAAGAAGAAGAGAUAAGUAGAGAGAACUCAGAGAAGAGAUAAGCACAAGGAGAGAAGAGAUAAGAGUAAGACAUAAGUCGUUAUCUUUGCCGCCGCCGUCAUCGGAGAUGGAGAGAAGUCGCCGUUGUCGUCGGAGGAGGAGCGUGUGCGUUUCUGUGUCUUCUUUCCAGUUGCAAAAAGGUCAGCCCCUUUCGGUUUGGGGAUAGAUCGUAACUGGGUUUGUAUAAAUUCUGUGUUUUACUUUCCUAUUUUUAAAGUCAUGUGAAAUUACCUUUUCUGCCCCUCCCGCACCGCAAUUGGCGCCCCCCUGCGUAUCGGAUCAGUGGAACGUGUCGAUACGCCACUUGGUGCACCGCGGCACACCCCCGCACCGGUCCGUAUCCCAUACGUGAUACUCCACCCAUGUGGAGUAUCCCUGCUUUCCAGCUUAUUAUCCAUCUCGUUAUAUGUUUCUUACAGUUGUUUCUAACCCCGAUAUUAUAAAUUGCUUUCAAUAAAUAAAGUAGUCGAGCGGAUUUUAUUUUUUUUGAAUUGUGGCGUUCCUCUUCCUAGUAACUAUUACAAAGGAUAUGGACCGCCAGAAUGCUGCAGUGAAUCCAGUCUAAGUGAAACCAUUCGGGUUCAUAUUUUGUGAACUACAGGGAAAGAAAGAAGAGGCGGAGAGGUUAAAUGUAGAUGAGAAUAUAUUGUUUGAUAUUUUUAUCAUGUAGGGAUUAACGGGUUAACUGUUAAGAAGUGCUAAAAUUUUGACGUGACCAGAAGGAAAAAGGAUAAUGUACCCUCCACUUUGGAAGGUUUCCUUGAAUUUUUUUUUAUCUUAUGAGAAAGUCCAGUUAUGUUAAUGUGGUCGUAGACUCAUAGUAGGCGACUAUUGUUUCCACUAAUUAGAUUCACUUACUUUAUAAAUCAGCUGGUUUAUAGCUUAUGAAAUUCUGAAAGAAUGUUUGAAGCUUCAUGAGGGACUUAUUGUGGUUUAUUAUGAUCAAGUACUCAAGUAUUUAACUAUAAAAGGAAUACAAAGCUCAUAUAGAAAAAAUCAUAUAGCUAACCUUUGACAGGGUUUCUUACACUGAAAGAAGCUUCAAUAAAAUUGUGUAUAUCUUAACUUAGUAACUUACGAUAAGGGAUUGUGCUGUUAUUUUUGCAAAUUGAUUAUAGAUUUCUUUCACUAUCAUCUUCGUGUUCAAUUCUUUAGUUUGCUAUUUCUGUUUUGGCUUACUUAAAUGUGCAGCUUUGAGUAUAGUUUUUUUUUUUUUUGGGGGGGGGGGGGGUUGACAAAUCAAAUUGUUCAAGGCAGCUUUCAAUAUUUUGAAUUUAGUGAGGCCAAAACUGUGCUUUGAAAGAUUGAUAUAAAUUGAUAAUAGUAGAUAUCCAAGUUCACAUGUGAACUAACCCUACUGUAAACAUAGCCGCGUCUCCCUGAGCCUGAGGCAACUACUCUAUGUUUUACUGCAACUGCGUACUUGAAUUUAACGAUUUCUGACUUCGUAUAAAUUGGAGCUUACUGAUUUCACCUGUUUCCUUUUUUCUUUUUUGCUGAUCGCACGUUCCUUUUAUAGGUUUAAAAUUAUGAAGAGGGCAAUGCCAUUAGAUGAUCAGAUGAACAUAUCUUCCGAUGAGUCCUUAUCUUCUGAACCAGACAUUGCAGAGUUGGCUGGCAAGUUUGUUGAGGACAUACCAAUUGGUCAACCAACUGACAUUGUUAUGACAACUGGUAAUUGUUUUCCGUACCCAUUAUACCAAAGCUUAAUAUAAUUACUUCCAUUACUCUUUAAGGUCUUAGCGUAAAUGUAUAUCUUCUAUCUAAACUGAUUAGCUCUUUAAGUAAAUUUGAGGUAUAAAGAAGUGAAAAGAAAGCCUGAAUGUGGGUUGUGGGUACCGGGUGCACAGUACGUAAUUUGGCAACUCUUUAAAUAUAGGGUUUCGGGUAUGAGGGUACACGACGAAUGUUAAAAUAAUACAAGUAUAUCAUAGAUUUGAUUCAAAAGUUGCAAUUUGAUUAAAUUAGACAGUCAGAUACAUACUCAUCAUCCUUAUUAUACAAGACAUAAUACUAAACACAAUUUUAAAAAUUGUUAUAUUAAAUCUGAAGGUGUUAUUGGGAUAAUUUAGUGGGUUAGGGUUAAAGAAGCAGAAAUGAAAACAAGAUGAAAACCAAGGAUCAAAAUUUUGACUUUACACAUUACUAUUCCUAAAGUUAUAGAAAAUUAAAGAGGUGAAGUGGAACUGUGAAAGCGGACCAGGUUGCGGGCCUGAAAUAGAUUUUUUUCCCCAGUCAAUCAUCAUUAUAUCAUCACAUGGUCCACUGUCAAAUACCCUCUAAUUUUAUCCUCAGUCUGGCUUCUAUAUCUUCACAUGCCCCUCUUUUUACUGUCAUUUGAAUUGCAGAAAAUGGUGUCUUUAGAAGUGCCCAAGCGUACCAAGAUUAUAUGAUGCAGCUGCCAAUCCCAACCAAACGUGGUGCUAUCAUUCCAUUUACCUCGUGGAGUGGAUUUGGUGAUUCUACGAAACAAUUAUACAAUCAGCCUCUGCAUUACCUCACAAAUGUCUACCUGAAGCAGCUGGACCGAAACAGGAUUGGUGCUGAUGAUGCUAACAAAAGACUUGAUACUAUUAUUCAUCCAGCCAAAGCUGAAGUUUUCCUCUGGAUGACGGAACAAAUUCACAGGCUC